CGAAGCUAUGUCAAAUUCAGUGCCUACCAUACCCAUGGCAGACACAUGCCCAGUAGACUGUGACAGUGACACUGUGACCCAUGGGCCCUGAUCCCCUUCUCUGGGACUAAGGGAUAAAUUUGGUUACAGACAUUA